rnacentral:lncRNA from 1 species
ACUUCAAUAAACAAGGUUGGUUGUCCCAGUGUGCUGGAGGUGCGUCGGCAGAAAGUACAUCAGUAUGUAUGCUGGCUCCAAUAGAGAGAAGGCAGGAAAAGAUGUAACCUGUGAGGGUUGCCUUCAUAAUGCCAUGGACUAACACAACCCACAGCCGUUCUCUGGGAAUCCCAGGUGACCUCCAGUAUCUUGGUCCCACAUAGCUCAGGGUGAAGAGCUGAGUAAUCCUGAACCUGGGGCUGCUGCCGGAACAACCUUUCACACAGUGCCCACUGCUCCCGGUUGCACAACAUGUUUGACUGCGAGAGAUAAACGCCAGGUUUACAUUUGACUCCAGUCACCUUCGGGGCCAGCAGCCGGAGCCUGUAAACAGCACCCACUCCUUUAGAAAGGCGCGACUUUCCCAAAGUCCUGCCUUCCGAGCGCUGCGCCAGGCUGGGAGGAGGUGGACAAGGAAGGGGAGUAUUCCAAAGAAAAAGGAGGCUACAAGCAAGCUCUCGACUCUGUUUAGGAAGAAAAGGAAGAGCCGAGCUGAAGCAUUGGCCCUGCGGGGGGUGGGGGUGGGGCUCAUUUUGUGAACUGGAAUUUAAGAACUAAAACUAGUCCCCCUAACGUGUUUCUGUUUACCCAUCAGAAAUCAAUCUCUGAUUGGAGCAGGUACUUUUUCCUCCGUAAAACAGGCCAAAGAGGAAACGGAACUGUCUUAGUACUAAAAUAAUCUGUAAUUUAAUUGAUGUUGCAUGUUAGGCUUAUUGAAGACACCACUAUGAGAAGAUUCUGUGCUUUGUUUUCUGACACUGAAAACUGCAGGGUGGGGGCGAGAAAAAUCCCCCCACGACUUCACACAGGUUAUAGGAGGAAAACUAAUAGUCGAGAAGGAGGGAUUUCAGUGGAUUCUUUCAAGAAUAAACAUGUCUUACUCAGAUCUUGAAGCCUGUGA